rnacentral:rRNA from 1 species
UACAGAGGGGGCGAGCGUUAUUCGGAAUUAUUGGGCGUAAAGGGCGCGUAGGCGGCUUUUCAAGUGACGGGUGAAAUCCCUCGGCUUAACCGAGGAACUGCCUGUCAGACUGGAAGGCUUGAGACCGGGAGAGGUGAGUGGAAUUCCCAGUGUAGCGGUGAAAUGCGUAGAUAUUGGGAGGAACACCAAUAGCGAAGGCAGCUCGCUGGGACGGUACUGACGCUAAGGCGCGAAAGCGUGGGGAGCGAACAGG